rnacentral:siRNA from 1 species
UGACGAGAGAACUUAUUGGCCU